rnacentral:rRNA from 1 species
CCUACGGGAGGCAGCAGUGGGGGAUAUUGCACAAUGGGGGGAACCCUGAUGCAGCGACGCCGCGUGGGCGAUGGAGUGCUUCGGCAUGUAAAGCCCUAUCAGCAGGGAAGAAAAUGACGGUACCUGACUAAGAAGCCCCGGCUAAAUACGUGCCAGCAGCCGCGGUAAUACGUAUGGGGCAAGCGUUAUCCGGAUUUACUGGGUGUAAAGGGAGCGUAGGCGGCGUGGCAAGCCUGAUGUGAAAUACCGGGGCCCAACCCCGGGGCUGCAUUGGGAACUGCCAGGCGGGAGUGCGGGAGAGGCAGGCGGAAUGCCUAGUGUAGCGGUGAAAUGCGUAGAUAUUAGGAGGAACACCAGUGGCGAAGGCGGCCUGCUGGACGGUGACUGACGCUGAGGCUCGAAAGCGUGGGGAGCAAACAGGAUUAGAUACCCCUGUAGUC